GUUCUCUCAGGAACUAGAAGAGUCCACCGAACAGAGGAGACAUAUGUAGGUUUAGGCCACAAAAUAGGCUUCAAGAUAACCUGAGUUUAUCCUAGCUUUCAAGAUAAUCUAUCUCUGCUUCUGAACAUAGUAGUUGUGGUGAAGAUGAUUAAAAGCCAGAAGGAAUAAUAUGAGAACCUUCAGCAUGGAUAUAUAAAAUGAUACACAAUUCUAGGUCAGUAAAAAUUAUAAAGGCUGUUCAGAUAUAAAGGGAGAAAGGCUGUGAAAGGACAUGCUUGUAUGGAUCACCUGGGACAAAAACUCAGAGAUGGAGGAGAUAAUAAGGCUGAACAGCACAGUACAGGAGUCCAGGCAUUUUCUUAUCAACACAACAGCUACACUUAUUCCACCUCCAUGGAUUGAAUUCAUUACAGGACAGCAGUGCUGAUAAGUUGACACAUAUAGAUUAUCAGUGAAUCAGAGCUACUGUAAAACUUUCUGUCCAGCAUAAUAAUAAAGAAAUGCCAAAUUUGUGUUGUGCAAAAUUUGUUUGUGAAAUCCUGGAUCUAAUAGUCCAGUGAACAAGUCUUGACUCAGUUAAAGAAAUAAGAAGAAAAGAAGCUUUGAUCCUCUAAGCUACCAUUGUUGUGAGCACAUCACAGGAAAGCAACUUGGGGAUUCUCUUCUGUGUUUAAAACUUAUUCUGUUGCCCAACCUAGUUCCCUUGAGACUCAGAAUGUGCAGAGUUGCUGAGAUGAGGCAGCUGGACAGCUGUGUAUAACUCUGCUGCUGAUUUGCAUGCACCAACAGUACAGCCCAGUGUGCUCAGGAAUUCUUCAUAGGCUGCUCACAUUAGGCAGUAGUCAGUCCAAGUCAGCACACAGCAUGGACAUGAGGACCCCUGCUCAGCUCCUGGGGAUCCUGCUGCUCUGGCUCCCAGGUGUCAAGUGUGACAUCCAGAUGACCCAGUCUCCAUCUUCACUAUCUGUGUCUCUAGGAGACACUGCCACCAUCACUUGCAGGGCCAGUGAGGACAUUGGGUAUGUUUUAGCCUGGUACCAGCAGCAACCAGGAAAAGCUCCUAAACCCUUGAUCUUUGAUGCAGAUAGUCAGGCGACCGGAGUUCCAUCAAGGUUCAGUGGGAGUGGGAGUCAAUCUGGGACAGAGUUCACUCUCAGGAUCAGUGGCCUGGAGCCCGAAGAUGUUGCCACUUAUUACUGUCAACAGGGUAGCAGUUUGCCUCCCACAGUGAUACAAAGCAUAACAAAAACCUCCCAGGGAAGCUGAAGUGUGAGUCUGGGCUGCCCCAGCUGCUCCUCCUGCUGCCUCCACCUGCUCAGAACGUUGUCAGAAAAAGCCAGUUAAU